UGCAAGUCGAACGAAGUAGCAAUACUGUAGUGGCAGACGGGUGAGUAACAUGUAGGUAUCUUCCCUUUGGCCUGGAAUAACACGAGGAAACUUGUGCUAAUACUGGAUAAGUCUUUACGGAGAAAGCUUUAUGCACCAUUGGAUGAGCCUGCACUUGAUUAGUUUGUUGGUGGGGUAAUGGCCUACCAAGACUUUGAUCAAUAGCUGAUUUGAGAGGAUGAUCAGCCACAUUGGGACUGAGACACGGCCCAGACUCCUACGGGAGGCAGCAGUGGGGAAUCUUGCACAAUGGAGGAAACUCUGAUGCAGCGAUGCCGCGUGAGUGAAGAAGGCCCUUGGGUUGUAAAGCUCUUUCGUCGGGGAAGAAAGUGACUGUACCCGAAUAAGAAGGUCCGGCUAACUUCGUGCCAGCGCCGCGGUAAUACGAAGGGACCUAGCGUAGUUCGGAAUUACUGGGCUUAAAGAGUUCGUAGGUGGUUGAAAAAGUUGGUGGUGAAAUCCCAGAGCUUAACUCUGGAACUGCCAUCAAAACUUUUCAGCUAGAGUUUGAUAGAGGAAAGCAGAAUUUCUAGUGUAGAGGUGAAAUUCGUAGAUAUUAGAAAGAAUACCAUUGCGAAGGCAGCUUUCUGGAUCUUACUGACACUGAGGAACGAAAGCAUGGGUAGCGAAGAGGAUUAGAUACCCUCGUAGUCCAUGCCGUAAACGAUGUGUGUUAGAGUUGGA
rnacentral:rRNA from 1 species